rnacentral:rRNA from 1 species
AUUGAACGCUGGCGGCAGGCCUAACACAUGCAAGUCGAACGAGUGGCGGACGGGUGAGUCAUGUCUGGGAAACUGCCUGCAGGAGGGGGAUAACUACUGGAAACGGUAGCUAUUACCGCAUACCAUCAGCUGUGCUCCGAUGGGAUUAGCUUGUUGGUGGGGUAAAGGUUCACCAAGGCGACGAUCCCUAGCUGGUCUGAGAGGAUGACCAGCCACACUGGAACUGAGACACGGUCCAGACUCCUACGUGAGGCAGCAGUGGGGAAUAUUGCGCAAUGGGCGCAAGACUGAUGCAGCCAUGCGGCGUGUAUGAAGAAGGCCGUCGGGUUGUAAAGUACUGUCAGCGGGGAGGCGUUACCCGCAGAAGAAGCACCGGCUAACUCCGUGCCAGCCGCCGCGGUAAUAC